AUUGAACGCUGGCGGCAGGCCUAACACAUGCAAGUCGAACGGUAACAGGAAGCAGCUUGCUGCUUCGCUGACGAGUGGCGGACGGGUGAGUAAUGUCUGGGAAACUGCCUGAUGGAGGGGGAUAACGACUGGAAACGGUAGCUAAUACCGCAUAACGUCGCAAGACCAAAGAGGGGGACCUUCGGGCCUCUUGCCAUCAGAUGUGCCCAGAUGGAAUUAGCUAGUAGGUGGGGUAACGGCGCACCUCGGCGACGAUCCCUAGCUGGUCUGAGAGGAAGACCAGCCACACGGGAACUGAGACCCGGUCCAGACUCCUACGGGGGGCAGCAGUGGGGAAUAUUGCACAAUGGGCGCAAGCCUGAUGCAGCCAUGCCGCGUGUAUGAAGAAGGCCUUCGGGUUGUAAAGUACUUUCAGCGGGGAGGAAGGUGUUGUGGUUAAUAACCGCAGCAAUUGACGUUACCCGCAGAAGAAGCACCGGCUAACUCCGUGCCAGCCGCCGCAGUAA
rnacentral:rRNA from 1 species